GACGUAGGGCGCGAGCGUUGUCCGGAUUUAUUGGGCGUAAAGAGCUCGUAGGCGGCUUGUCGCGUCGACUGUGAAAUCCCGCGGCUCAACUGCGGGUCUGCAGUCGAUACGGGCAGGCUAGAGUUCGGUAGGGGAGACUGGAAUUCCUGGUGUAGCGGUGAAAUGCGCAGAUAUCAGGAGGAACACCGGUGGCGAAGGCGGGUCUCUGGGCCGUAACUGACGCUGAGGAGCGAAAGCAUGGGGGAGCGAACAGG
rnacentral:rRNA from 1 species